GGUUAAGCGACUAAGCGUACACGGUGGAUGCCCUGGCAGUCAGAGGCGAUGAAGGACGUGCUAAUCUGCGAUAAGCGUCGGUAAGGUGAUAUGAACCGUUAUAACCGGCGAUUUCCGAAUGGGGAAACCCAGUGUGAUUCGUCACACUAUCAUUAACUGAAUCCAUAGGUUAAUGAGGCGAACCGGGGGAACUGAAACAUCUAAGUACCCCGAGGAAAAGAAAUCAACCGAGAUUCCCCCAGUAGCGGCGAGCGAACGGGGAGCAGCCCAGAGCCUGAAUCAGUGUGUGUGUUAGUGGAAGCGUCUGGAAAGGCGCGCGAUACAGGGUGACAGCCCCGUACACAAAAAUGCACAUGCUGUGAGCUCGAUGAGUAGGGCGGGACACGUGGUAUCCUGUCUGAAUAUGGGGGGACCAUCCUCCAAGGCUAAAUACUCCUGACUGACCGAUAGUGAACCAGUACCGUGAGGGAAAGGCGAAAAGAACCCCGGCGAGGGGAGUGAAAAAGAACCUGAAACCGUGUACGUACAAGCAGUGGGAGCACGCUUAGGCGUGUGACUGCGUACCUUUUGUAUAAUGGGUCAGCGACUUAUAUUCUGUAGCAAGGUUAACCGAAUAGGGGAGCCGAAGGGAAACCGAGUCUUAACUGGGCGUUAAGUUGCAGGGUAUAGACCCGAAACCCGGUGAUCUAGCCAUGGGCAGGUUGAAGGUUGGGUAACACUAACUGGAGGACCGAACCGACUAAUGUUGAAAAAUUAGCGGAUGACUUGUGGCUGGGGGUGAAAGGCCAAUCAAACCGGGAGAUAGCUGGUUCUCCCCGAAAGCUAUUUAGGUAGCGCCUCGUGAAUUCAUCUCCGGGGGUAGAGCACUGUUUCGGCAAGGGGGUCAUCCCGACUUACCAACCCGAUGCAAACUGCGAAUACCGGAGAAUGUUAUCACGGGAGACACACGGCGGGUGCUAACGUCCGUCGUGAAGAGGGAAACAACCCAGACCGCCAGCUAAGGUCCCAAAGUCAUGGUUAAGUGGGAAACGAUGUGGGAAGGCCCAGACAGCCAGGAUGUUGGCUUAGAAGCAGCCAUCAUUUAAAGAAAGCGUAAUAGCUCACUGGUCGAGUCGGCCUGCGCGGAAGAUGUAACGGGGCUAAACCAUGCACCGAAGCUGCGGCAGCGACGCUGAUGCGUUGUUGGGUAGGGGAGCGUUCUGUAAGCCUGUGAAGGUGUACUGUGAGGUAUGCUGGAGGUAUCAGAAGUGCGAAUGCUGACAUAAGUAACGAUAAAGCGGGUGAAAAGCCCGCUCGCCGGAAGACCAAGGGUUCCUGUCCAACGUUAAUCGGGGCAGGGUGAGUCGACCCCUAAGGCGAGGCCGAAAGGCGUAGUCGAUGGGAAACAGGUUAAUAUUCCUGUACUUGGUGUUACUGCGAAGGGGGGACGGAGAAGGCUAUGUUGGCCGGGCGACGGUUGUCCCGGUUUAAGCGUGUAGGCUGGUUUUCCAGGCAAAUCCGGAAAAUCAAGGCUGAGGCGUGAUGACGAGGCACUACGGUGCUGAAGCAACAAAUGCCCUGCUUCCAGGAAAAGCCUCUAAGCAUCAGGUAACAUCAAAUCGUACCCCAAACCGACACAGGUGGUCAGGUAGAGAAUACCAAGGCGCUUGAGAGAACUCGGGUGAAGGAACUAGGCAAAAUGGUGCCGUAACUUCGGGAGAAGGCACGCUGAUAUGUAGGUGAAGUCCCUCGCGGAUGGAGCUGAAAUCAGUCGAAGAUACCAGCUGGCUGCAACUGUUUAUUAAAAACACAGCACUGUGCAAACACGAAAGUGGACGUAUACGGUGUGACGCCUGCCCGGUGCCGGAAGGUUAAUUGAUGGGGUCAGCGCAAGCGAAGCUCUUGAUCGAAGCCCCGGUAAACGGCGGCCGUAACUAUAACGGUCCUAAGGUAGCGAAAUUCCUUGUCGGGUAAGUUCCGACCUGCACGAAUGGCGUAAUGAUGGCCAGGCUGUCUCCACCCGAGACUCAGUGAAAUUGAACUCGCUGUGAAGAUGCAGUGUACCCGCGGCAAGACGGAAAGACCCCGUGAACCUUUACUAUAGCUUGACACUGAACAUUGAGCCUUGAUGUGUAGGAUAGGUGGGAGGCUUUGAAGUGUGGACGCCAGUCUGCAUGGAGCCGACCUUGAAAUACCACCCUUUAAUGUUUGAUGUUCUAACGUGGACCCGUAAUCCGGGUUGCGGACAGUGUCUGGUGGGUAGUUUGACUGGGGCGGUCUCCUCCUAAAGAGUAACGGAGGAGCACGAAGGUUGGCUAAUCCUGGUCGGACAUCAGGAGGUUAGUGCAAUGGCAUAAGCCAGCUUGACUGCGAGCGUGACGGCGCGAGCAGGUGCGAAAGCAGGUCAUAGUGAUCCGGUGGUUCUGAAUGGAAGGGCCAUCGCUCAACGGAUAAAAGGUACUCCGGGGAUAACAGGCUGAUACCGCCCAAGAGUUCAUAUCGACGGCGGUGUUUGGCACCUCGAUGUCGGCUCAUCACAUCCUGGGGCUGAAGUAGGUCCCAAGGGUAUGGCUGUUCGCCAUUUAAAGUGGUACGCGAGCUGGGUUUAGAACGUCGUGAGACAGUUCGGUCCCUAUCUGCCGUGGGCGCUGGAGAACUGAGGGGGGCUGCUCCUAGUACGAGAGGACCGGAGUGGACGCAUCACUGGUGUUCGGGUUGUCAUGCCAAUGGCACUGCCCGGUAGCUAAAUGCGGAAGAGAUAAGUGCUGAAAGCAUCUAAGCACGAAACUUGCCCCGAGAUGAGUUCUCCCUGACUCCUUGAGAGUCCUGAAGGAACGUUGAAGACGACGACGUUGAUAGGCCGGGUGUGUAAGCGCAGCGAUGCGUUGAGCUAACCGGUACUAAUGAACCGUGAGGCUUAACCUU
rnacentral:rRNA from 1 species